CAGAGGGUGCGAGCGUUAAUCGGAAUUACUGGGCGUAAAGCGCGCGUAGGCGGCUAUGCAAGUCGAGUGUGAAAUCCCCGGGCUCAACCUGGGAACUGCAUUCGAGCUGCGUUGCUUGAGUAUGGGAGAGGGAGGCGGAAUUUCAGGUGUAGCGGUGAAAUGCGUAGAUAUCUGAAGGAACAUCAGUGGCGAAAGCGGCCUCCUGGACCAAUACUGACGCUCAAGUGCGAAAGCGUGGGGAGCAAACAGGAUUAGAUACCCUGGUAGUCCACGCCAUAAACGAUGAGAACUAGAUGUCGGGAGGGUUAGCCUCUCGGUGUCGCAGCUAACGCGUUAAGUUCUCCGCCUGGGGAGUACGGCCGCAAGGUUG
rnacentral:rRNA from 1 species